rnacentral:rRNA from 1 species
UGGUGGAGUGAUUUGUCUGGUUAAUUCCGUUAACGAACGAGACCUCGACCUGCUAAAUAGUUCAACGAAUCUUUCAGGAGUCGUAUGUGACUUCUUAGAGGGACUAUCGGUGGGUAGCCGAUGGAAGUUCGAGGCAAUAACA